rnacentral:rRNA from 1 species
CCUACGGGAGGCAGCAGUGGGGAAUAUUGCACAAUGGGGGAAACCCUGAUGCAGCGACGCCGCGUGAGGGAAGAAGUAUUUCGGUACGUAAAGCUCUAUCUGCAGAGAAGAAAAUGACGGUACCUGACUAAGAAUCCCCGGCUAACUACGUUCCAGCAGCCGCGAAACUACGGGGGCUGCGACCGUUAUCCGGAUUUAUUGGGUUAAAGGGGGGCGCAGGCGGAUUUUUAAGUCAGCGGUAAAGUCGUGGGGCCCAACCUCAUCCAGCAGUUGAUACUGGUGAUCUUGAGUGUGCGAGAGGUAGGCGGAAUGCGUGGUGUAGCGGUGAAAUGCAUAGAUAUCACGCAGAACCCCGAUUGCGAAGGCAGCAUACCAGUGUACAACUGACGUUGAGGCACGAAAGCGUGGGUAUCGAACAGGAUUAGAUACCCCGGUAGUC